AGCUCCAUGAUAAUUUUGCAUGACCACCACUGAAUGUGCAGUUCCUUGAUUGACCUGUCCUGAUGCAGUGCCUGACUGUAGUUCUGCAGCUCCACUGAAGAAGAGGCACUGAGGACUAGAGGCAGCCAGGGGAUUGCAACUCAAAGAGGUUUUCUAGAACCAGUUACUUCCAAAUUAUGUUCAAUUAGGCAACAGAACUAAAGAAUAUGCCUCUGAUCUACUUAUUUCUCAGCCUGAAUGCUGACUUCAUAGACUUUCAAAACAAAGUAAUAGGUGAGGAGCAAAGGAAGUAGUUCUGCUGACGGUUCAGGACCUGCUGUGUGGGUAGGGUGGUUCACUAGUCAUCCUGAAAGGGAACAAGAGACGAGAGAAGCCAGGGAAAGUCAGGGAGGGAAGACAGAGGAGCCCAGCCACUCACAUUCUUUCUGGCUCCCAGCAAUCACCCAGUCAAAUGUGGGGCUGCUGGUGAGGACAAAAGGACCCGGCAGAACAGGUGCACCUGGGAGGGGGGUUCAGAGCCAAGAGACCAAGAGCCCUCCCUCAGGACAGCCGGGGAGGCCAACUGGACCCCAGACUCAACUCGGCAAAUGGGGGCAACUCCAACGAUCUACUUCCACAACACUGAGUAAUUUCUAGCCACAGAGCCCCACGCAUGCAGUUUUAGUAUUAUAAAAAUGUGAAGACAAAUUAGUCAAGUCAGGGCACUAAAUAAAAUUAAAAAUUCUUGUCCU
ensembl:lncRNA LINC01796 long intergenic non-protein coding RNA 1796